UACGUAGGGGGCAAGCGUUGUCCGGAAUCAUUGGGCGUAAAGCGUGCGCAGGCGGUUUUGUAAGUCUGUCGUGAAAGCCCCGGGCUUAACCUGGGAAUUGCGAUGGAGACUGCAAGGCUUGAAUCUGGCAGAGGGGGGUAGAAUUCCACGUGUAGCAGUGAAAUGCGUAGAGAUGUGGAGGAACACCGAUGGCGAAGGCAGCCCCCUGGGUCAAGAUUGACGCUCAUGCACGAAAGCGUGGGGAGCAAACAGG
rnacentral:rRNA from 1 species